rnacentral:rRNA from 1 species
UACGAGGGGGGCGAGCGUUGUUCGGAAUUAUUGGGCGUAAAGGGUGCGUAGGCGGUUCCGCAAGUCCUGUGUGAAAUCUUCGGGCUCAACUCGAAGUCUGCACGGGAAACUGCGGGGCUUGAGUGUGGGAGAGGUGAGUGGAAUUCCCGGUGUAGCGGUGAAAUUCGUAGAUAUUGGGAAGAACACCGGUGGCGAAGGCGGCUCACUGGCUCAUUUCUGACGCUCAGGCGCGACAGCGUGGGGAUCAAACAGG